rnacentral:rRNA from 1 species
UACGGGGGGAGCAAGCGUUGUUCGGAUUUACUGGGCGUAAAGGGCGCGUAGGCGGUCAGCACAAGUCAGUUGUGAAAUCUCCGGGCUUAACUCGGAAAGGUCAACUGAUACUGUGCGACUAGAGUGCGGAAGGGGCAACUGGAAUUCUUGGUGUAGCGGUGGAAUGCGCAGAUAUCAGGAGGAACACCGGUGGCGAAGGCGGGAUCCUGGGCCGACACUGACGCUGAGGCGCGAAAGCCAGGGGAGCGAAGGG